CCAGCAGUUUCCUCUGCCUGGAACACUUUCCGCAGCGCUGGAUUACAACUGCUGGUCUCCCUGCCUGCCUUCCCUGCUUCCCAGAGCACGAAGAAGCUUGCCUCCGCAACCCACUAUUUGUGUGACCUUGGUCCAGGAACUGGACUGGGCUCUCCUCCUGAAAGUGGGUAAAUAAUGUCACCGACCUAAUGAGGCUGUUGAGGCAUGGAAUCUGAUCAGGCAGAUAAAGUGCCCCUGGCAAACCUCAA
ensembl:lncRNA novel transcript